UUUGGCGACCAUAGCGGUUUGGUCCCACUCCUUCCCAUCUCGAACAGGACAGUGAAACAAACCAGCGCCGAUGAUAGUAUCUGUCUCUUAUACACAUCU
rnacentral:rRNA from 1 species